CCUAAUUCUACUCCUAUAACUUGUGAACUAGUGACUGAGAGAAACAACAUUUCUGUCCCCUUACGUUCACCUUUGAUCAACUUUCCUUCUCAAAGACAAGUUGAGGGAUAUGACUUGGAGCAACAGAACCCUCAAAUGAUUUAGUGCCCACACAUCAUUUGUUCAAAAUUGCGUUCCCACAGCUAUCAAAUGUCAUAUAACAUAAGCACAUUUCACCGCAAUAAAUUG